CUGAGAGGAUGACCAGCCACACUGGAACUGAGACACGGUCCAGACUCCUACGGGAGGCAGCAGUGGGGAAUAUUGCACAAUGGGCGCAAGCCUGAUGCAGCCAUGCCGCGUGUAUGAAGAAGGCCUUAGGGUUGUAAAGUACUUUCAGCGGGGAGGAAGGGAGUAAAGUUAAUACCUUUGCUCAUUGACGUUACCCGCAGAAGAAGCACCGGCUAACUCCGUGCCAGCAGCCGCGGUAAUACGGAGGGUGCAAGC
rnacentral:rRNA from 1 species